rnacentral:tRNA from 1 species
CGGGCCGUGGAUGGUGGCGGCGAUCCGCUGGUUGCAGCAGUGCGAGGACGGCGCCAUCGAGAUGGGCCUGCAGAUCCUGGCCGCGCGCGCCGAC